rnacentral:tRNA from 1 species
GGUGGUAGAGCUCAGUGGUAGAGCGCAUGCUUAGCAUGCGUGAGGUUCUGGGUUCAAUCCCCAGUCCCUCCA